rnacentral:rRNA from 1 species
CCUAUAAGCGCCAGGGAAUUACGAGCUAUGCUUAAAACCCAAAGGAUUUGACGGUGUCCCACCCCCCUAGAGGAGCCUGUUCUAUAAUCGAUGAUCCCCGCUACACCCGACCACUUCUUGCUUAUCAGUCUGUAUACCUCCGUCGAAAGCUUACCAUGUGAACGCCACCCACAGUAGGUUCAAUGACCCCCGUCAAUACGUCAGGUCAAGGUGCAGCUUAAGAAGUGGGAAGUGAUGGGCUACAAUUUCUAAUCUAGAACAAACGAAAGACUAUGUGAAACCCUAGUCACGAAGGCGGAUUUAGCAGUAAAAAGAAAAUAGAGUGUUCUUUUUAAUCUGGCUCUGGGACGCGUACACACCGCCCGUCACCCUCUGCAGUCAA